rnacentral:rRNA from 1 species
GACGAACGCUGGCGGUGUGCCUAACGCAUGCAAGUCGAACGGUAAGGCCCUUUCGGGGGUACACGAGUGGCGAACGGGUGAGUAACACGUGAGUAACCUGCCCUCAUCUCUGGGAUAACAGUCGGAAACGGUUGCUAAUACUGGAUAUGAGCUUGCAAGGCAUCUUGUGGGUUGGAAAGAUUUUUUUGGUUGGGGAUGGACUCGCGGCCUAUCAGCUUGUUGGUGAGGUAGUGGCUCACCAAGGCUUCGACGGGUAGCCGGCCUGAGAGGGCGACCGGCCACAUUGGGACUGAGAUACGGCCCAAACUCCUACGGGAGGCAGCAGUGGGGAAUAUUGCACAAUGGACGGAAGUCUGAUGCAGCAACGCCGCGUGCGGGAUGACGGCCUUCGGGUUGGAAACCGCUUUCAAUUGUGACGAAGCUUUUUGUGACGGUAGCAGUAGAAGAAGCACCGGCUAACUACGUG